AGGAGCAAAAAAAAAAUGUAUGAUAUUAGAGAAUUAAAAAAAAGUAAGG
rnacentral:rRNA from 1 species